AGUAACGCGUGGGUAAUCUACCCCUUGAAUUGGGGAUAACCCGCCGAAAGGCGGGCUAAUACCGAAUGACAUCUUGAAAACUUAUGGUUUCAAGAUCAAAGGUGGCCUCUACAUGUAAGCUAUUGUUUGGGGAUGAGCCCGCGUACCAUUAGCUUGUUGGUAGGGUAAUGGCCUACCAAGGCUACGAUGGUUAGCUGGUCUGAGAGGAUGAUCAGCCACACUGGAACUGACACACGGUCCAG
rnacentral:rRNA from 1 species